rnacentral:misc_RNA from 1 species
AGCACGUGGCCGAUGUCGAAGACGGAACGGUCGCGGCAGAUGCCGGCCUCCGGUGAAGCGAGCCGGGCGAACAGCCAGUCGUCGGACAGCGGCGGCUCCGGCUCGGGUUGGCCGAAGCACCGGGCCAAGUCGUCGGGACCGAAGCCGAGCGACCGGGCACGCUCCCACCACGCGUCACGGAUGGCAUCGACGUCGACGCGCUCCUUAUCCGGCCGGGUCUUGCGGGCGAGGUAGUCGACCUGCUCCGGGGAUGCGCCGUGGCCGAUCUCCUCCUCCAGCUCCCGUACGGCCUCCUCCACCUCGUUGCGGCGCU